UUAACUACCUGUGAUGAGACUAGCAUAUCAAUAGCGGAGGAAAAGAAACUAACAAGGAUUCCCCUAGUAACUGCGAGUGAGCGGGAAAAGCUCAAAUUUAAAAUCUGGCAGUCUUUGAUUGUCCGAGUUGUAGUCUGGAGAAGUGUUUUCCGCGCUGGACCGUGUACAAGUCUCUUGGAAUAGAGCGUCAUAGAGGGUGAGAAUCCCGUCUUUGACACGGACUACCAGUGCUUUGUGAUGCGCUCUCAAGAGUCGAGUUGUUUGGGAAUGCAGCUCAAAAUGGGUGGUAAAUUCCAUCUAAGCUAAAUAUUGGCGAGAGACCGAUAGCGAACAAGUACCGUGAGGGAAAGAUGAAAAGCACUUUGGAAGAGAGUUAAACAGUACGUGAAAUUGCUGAAAGGGAAACGCUUGAAGUCAGUCACGUUGGUCAGAACUCAGCCUGGUUUUUACUUGGUGCAUUUUCUGAUUAACGGGCCAGCAUCAAUUUCGAUCAUUGGAAAAAUUCUUGGGAAAUGUGGCUCCCUCGGGAGUGUUAUAGUCUCGAGUUGUAUACAGUGAUUGGGAUUGAGGAACUCAGCAUGCCUUUAUGGCCGGGGUUCGCCCACGUUCAUGCUUAGGAUGCUGGCGUAAUGGCUUUAAACGACCCGUCUUGAAACACGGACCAAGGAGUCUAACAUACCUGCGAGUAUUUGGGUGGAAAACCCGAGUGCGUAAUGAAAGUGAAAGUUGGGAUCUCUGUCGUGGAGAGCACCGACGCCCAUACCAGACCUUCUGCGACGGCUAUGCGGUUGAGCAUGUAUGUUGGGACCCGAAAGAUGGUGAACUAUGCCUGAAUAGGGUGAAGCCAGAGGAAACUCUGGUGGAGGCUCGUAGCGCAUUCGUGGA
rnacentral:rRNA from 1 species